rnacentral:rRNA from 1 species
UACGUAGGGGGCAAGCGUUGUCCGGAUUUAUUGGGCGUAAAGAGCGUGUAGGCGGCCAUGUAGGUCCGUUGUGAAAACUCGAGGCUCAACCUCGAGACGCCGAUGGAAACCAUGUGGCUAGAGUUCGGCAGGGGAGACUGGAAUUCCUGGUGUAGCGGUGAAAUGCGCAGAUAUCAGGAGGAACACCGGUGGCGAAGGCGGCAUCCUGGACCAAUACUGACGCUGAGGAGCGAAAGCCAGGGGAGCAAACGGG